rnacentral:rRNA from 1 species
AUUGAACGCUGGCGGCAUGCCUAACACAUGCAAGUCGAACGAGUGGCGGACGGGUGCGUAAUGUCUGGGAAACUGCCUGAUGGAGGGGUAUAACUACAGGAAACGGUAGCUAAGACCGCAUAUCAUUGGAUGUGCUCAUAUGGGAUCAGCUAGUAGGGGGGGUAAAGGCUAACCAAGGCGACGCUCCCUAGCUGGUCUGAGAGGAUGAACAGCCACACUGGAACUGUGAGACGGUCGAGACGCCUACGGGAGGAAGCAGUGGGGAAUAUUGCACAAUGGGCGCAAGCCUUAUGUAGCCAUGCCGCGUGUAUGAAGAAGGCCCUAGGGUUGUAAAGUACUUUCAGUCGGGAAGCGGUACCGACAGAAGAAGCACCGGCUAACUCCGUGCCAGCCGCCGCGGUAAUAC